AUCUGUACUCUUUGGUUACAGUUGUUCAACCAGUUACUAAUCUAACAAAUUGUAACCAGUUGAACAACUGAACCCAAAGGGUGCAAAGUAGAAACAUU
rnacentral:pre_miRNA from 12 species